AUGGUAUGGUGAAGACACUUUCUAAGCAUCUCCUUAAAUCUCUCCCAACUCUCAUAAAUAGAUUCUCCCUCUAACUGAGUAAAAGAAGUAAUAUUAUUUCAAAGUUU